CCCUUAGACGUUCUGGGCCGCACGCGCGCUACACUGACCAGUGCAACAAGCAUCCGUCCUUGGCCGACAGGCCCGGGCAAUCUUUGUACGCUGGUCGUGAUGGGGAUAGACUUUUGCAAUUUUUGGUCUUCAACGAGGAAUUCCUAGUAAACGCAAGUCAUCAACUUGCAUUGAUUACGUCCCUGCCCUUUGUACACACCGCCCGUCGCACCUACCGAUUGAAUGGUCCGGUGAAGCCUCCGGAUUGGCGCGCACCUCGGUGCCGCCGAGAAGUUGGCUAAACCUUACCAUUUAGAGGAAGGUGAANUCGUANCA
rnacentral:rRNA from 1 species